GGCGGUGGGGAAGCAGCACGCAUCACUCGGCCCCUGCCUGCACCCAGCCGCCAGUUGCCGGUUGCUAAGCAGUUAUUGUUUCUGUGGCGAUUGCAGAGGCUGUGGCUAAUUGGAGAAGCCCCACUGAGCAGCAGCGUCUUCUUCUGCCGAGCCCGUCUCUGCUCUUUGCAUUUAAAGAGCAAACUAGGCUGCUCUCCCCAGCUCCCUCCCCCCACCGCCCCCCAAAAACCUGGUCAUUUUGGAAGUAUGGACUAAAAUCGCUCUCCUCCUCACCCUACCAUUCCGAUCCCGGUGCCUCCAAAGUCACAGUCAGACCCCUCCUGUGUCUGGGGUGGCGAGUGCCCGGACAGACCAUGACCACCGCCAAGGAGCCCAGCGCCUCAGGAAAAUCUGUACAGCAGCAGGAUCAGGGAACAAAGCAAGGAGUCCUGGCUUCAAGUGAUGUCCAAGCUGCACUGCUAAGAUGAUGGCUGCACUGUCCUACAAACAGAACACUACAGAUGACCCGUGUGUGAUUCACAUAUAUCUGCACAUGACUUCUACUAACUUCUCCUAGGUUACUUCUACUAUUUGUGAAAAUAUAAAGUUAAAAUAAAACCAAAUAAACCAAA
rnacentral:lncRNA from 1 species